CAAUGUCAUUCCGUUCAGUAAGGCAAAUGCUGCAGUCAACUUUACGGCUCAAGUGAAGGCACACCACCAGAUGCUGCGCAUCCCGAGAGCAGAAGAGGAGGCUGGAGGGCGCUCUGUUGAACAGGAACAUGCCUUGACUUGUACCGGCUUGUCUGAAGGGAGCUCUGGCUUGUGGUCAACAGCAGCUGCUGUGUGCAUUUCACUCAGCGCUGACCCGGCAAGAGGACAACAACAGCUCAAACCUUCUGCUUUCUGGGAAUACUGGACAAACACAGGUAUCUCUGUAUAUCUGCGCUGACCAAACUGACGGCCUUACAGCCCUCAGACGAGCUUGUUUACCGGAGGACUUCCCUUCACUGGAAAGCCCCUCAACUUCACCCACAGUUCAGAUCGUCAUUAGAACACACAAAGAAGGCUCAGCCUGCUCUGACGACAGAAACCACGGGCAUAGUAGUGGCUUCAGCAGAUGUCCUUGUCAGGAGUAGAAGAUCAGCGCAGACGCUGAGGACGAGCGCUCUUCACCAUCAUCAAGAAUGUGGAAGCAGAAUCAAAUAAAGGGAAAACUUAGCAUUUGUGUCAGCAGCUUCCAGUGAAAGAUGAGUGGACUUUCGGAGGGGCAGCUCACAGAGGAAAAAUCUUGAGCUUUCUGACGCAGGAGCUUCCAAGAAGUAGGACAUGAAUAUGCAAAAUGAGUCCUCGAGAGAAGACUCUCUUUGGGCAAGCGAAAGGAGGAUACAGCGGAGGAAGAGGAGAGAGAGGAGGAGGGAGAGGAGCAGUGAGGGAAGCUGGCUGCUGUGAGUGUUUCUCUGGCAGUGUCUUAGCUGGUUGUUGUGAGGAGUGAGAACGAAGCAAUCAGCAAGUAUACUGCCGCAGAAACUCGUCACCAUACGAGGCCCAUCCAUCCAGCGCAGAGAUCCCCCACACAGUCAGCGGAAAGCUCCAGCCUCUUCCAUCAGCCCUCCCUUCAUUCGGCACGGCUUGCUUCUGACUUUAGUCAUAGAAUAGAAUCAGUUAUGAUUCUUUGGGGAAUUUAUAUGAUGAAUCAUGAAAUCUCAAAUCUGACCAUAAUUCAUUUUGUACAGUACCUUGUGCAUGUACAGUAUAGUAUUUGUAUCUGGCUACAUAUCGUAUAUCGUAUAUAUUUUAUGUAUUAAAAUAUGUUCUCUUUUAUUGGAUGAGGGGGCUAGGAGUAAGAUCAAUUUCUGUCAUGCCUCACGGGCCACGUUUGUCACUCGGGAAGCUCUAAUCUAUAACAUAGUAUUGAACGACCCCUUUUUUAUACAAGCAUUUGAAUACCCUCUACUAAUAUCUAUCUCAAUGCACCACAGAGACCCUUGUGUAUUAUUAGUGUGAGAAGCAAAGUAUUAUCAUUACAAUCAAGUAAAAUCAACUGAGUUAUAAUUGAUUGUAACUGAAAUUGGUGCAGCUUCAGAUCAGUGUCUCACUGAUGCCUCUACUGUACAUAACAGUGAAUUCAUUUCAUGAAUCCUCUGCAUUAAAGCUUUUCUGACUGGA